rnacentral:rRNA from 1 species
UGCCAGCAGCCGCGGUAAUACGGAGGGUGCAAGCGUUAUUCGGAAUUAUUGGGCGUAAAGCGCACGUAGGCGGAUCGUUAAGUCAGCUGUGAAAGCCCUGGGCUCAACCUGGGAACUGCGUCCGAAACUGCGUGGCUAGAGUCCGGGAGAGGGUAGUGGAAUUCCCAGUGUAGCGGUGAAAUGCGUAGAUAUUGGGAGGAACACCAGUGGCGAAGGCGGCUACCUGGACCGGUACUGACGCUGAGGCGCGAAAGCGUGGGGAGCAAACAGGAUUAGAUA